AGAUUGAACGCUGGCGGCAUGCCUUACACAUGCAAGUCGAACGGCAGCACGGGAGCAAUCCUGGUGGCGAGUGGCGAACGGGUGAGUAAUAUAUCGGAACGUGCCCAGUCGUGGGGGAUAACGCGGCGAAAGCUGUGCUAAUACCGCAUACGAUCUAUGGAUGAAAGCGGGGGAUCGCAAGACCUCGCGCGAUUGGAGCGGCCGAUAUCAGAUUAGCUAGUUGGUGGGGUAAAAGCCUACCAAGGCGACGAUCUGUAGCUGGUCUGAGAGGACGACCAGCCACACUGGAACUGAGACACGGUCCAGACU
rnacentral:rRNA from 1 species